rfam:Schistosoma haematobium scaffold2845_4, whole genome shotgun sequence.
CUUUGAUGUGGCCUGUUCCUCUCCAGAAAGGUCAAUCGGCUUCACCAACUUAUUUGGCUGGAAAGGGCACCACAGUGAUAACUAGCUUGUGGCGGCCAAGCGUUCAUAGCGACGUCGUUUUUUGAUCCUUCGAUGUCGGCUGUUUCUAUGAUUGUGAAGUAGAAUUCACCAAGCGUUGGAUUGUUCAUCCACUAAUAGGGAACGUGAGCUGGGUUUAGACCAUCGUGAGACAGGUUAGUU